rnacentral:lncRNA from 1 species
UUGGAGUGGCAGUCACCCACCUUUUAUUUAUUUUUUGUAGUCACACGAAUAUGUUCUUGGCGAGGAUUUUCUUUUUUAUCCUUCUUUUUCUUCAUCGUUUUUGCUUUCCCUAAUUUUUGUCUGGACUGAUUUUUUGGGUUUACAAUCCACUGAGAUGCCCUAAUUUUUGCCUAAGUCACUUGUUUUCAAGUUUUUGACUUAGCGGGCUUUCUUUUUUUAUUUUAUUUUUUA